rnacentral:rRNA from 1 species
AACGAACGCUGGCGGCGUGCUUAACACAUGCAAGUCGAACGCGAAAUUUUUCUUCGGAAAGAAAGUAGAGUGGCGCACGGGUGAGUAACGCGUAAGUUAUCUACCUCGGCAUCUGGAAUAACUCACCGAAAGGUGUGCUAAUACCGGAUACGUUGAGUAAUCAAGAAAGGUGGCCUCUGAAUAUGCUACUGUGCUGAGAUGAGCUUGCGUACCAUUAGCUAGUUGGUAGGGUAAAGGCCUACCAAGGCGACGACGGUUAGCGGGUCUGAGAGGAUGAUCCGCCACACUGGAACUGGAACACGGACCAGACUCCUACGGGAGACAGCAGUGAGGAAUAUUGCGCAAUGGGGGCAACCCUGACGCAGCGACGCCGCGUGGAUGAUGAAGGCCUUCGGGUCGUAAAAUCCUGUCAAGUGGAAAGAAGUGCAUAGUGGUUAAUACCUGCUAUGUUUGACGGUACCACUGAAGGAAGCACCGGCUAACUCCGUGCCAGCAGCCGCAGUAAGAC